UUAAAGCGGCAUCAUUUUGUAUCGGGAUUUGGCUGAAGCGCAUCAUGAGGACAGUGGACAAAUGUUAAGUCUCCAGGAGGGGGAGGAAAAAAUGAGGGAAGAAAUCUGGUGCCAAGCUGGCAGGUGUAUAACAAGGCAUCACUCCGUAGCCUGUUCCGCUUCCCUGCCGACCCACAUGCCCUGAGCUGUGCCAAGACCUGAGCCAGCGCAUGGGGUGAAGGGGGACAGCAGCCGGGCACCCCGGGCUUGAGGCCAGGCCAGAAGGGCUGCAUCUGCCAGGGGAUGUAGCACCCUUGCAGGGAUGGAUCUCCCUGUCAGUGCAUUGUCUGGUUUUACAUGGCCAUCACGCUCUCGUUUGCUGCGAGAAGGUGGAUUUGCAACGUGUAAGCCCCAGCUGGCAGUCCAUCUCCCUGCUUUCUGCUGUCAUUGCAUUUCCAGUUGAUGGUCUUUCCCACCUGGAAGAAUCUGCCCUAUGAGGAAAGACUGAGGGAGUUGGGUCUCUUCUGCCUGGACCUCAUGACAGCAUUCCAGUAUUAAAAGGUGGCUGUAAGGAGUAUGGAGGCUCUCUCUUCACAGGGAUUUAUGGAGAAGACGUGGCAAUAGCUACAAGUCACGCUGGGAGAGGCUUUAUCUUGAAAUGCGAAAGAAAUUUUUUACAGUGAGAACAGUCAAUGACAGAAACAACCUCCCCAGGGACAUGGUGGAGUCUCCAUCGCUGGAGGUUUUCAAGAUGGCACUGGACAGCGUGCUGGAUAACCUUAUCCAGGCUUCCCUUCCACAAAAGGUGGGACCAGAUGCAAGGUCUCGUCCGACCUCAGCUGUUCCUUGAUUCUACAAUUCCCACGUGUCUUUUUCCAUCUCCUGGCAAGUUGUCCCCGGGAAUGGGAUGUCCACCUGUCCUGGUGAGAGUGAAGGGCUCUGCAGCUCCAGCACCCAAUGAGGGUUUAUCCAACCAGUGUAUCCCCAACAGCUCUGCCACAAACUCUCCAGCAUGCCUUGGACAUGCUAUUUGCUCAGUUGUUUCCCACUCUUUUGCCCUUUGUUUUAGAGGACUGAGCAGAUUUCCCCUAGUGUUAGUUGUUUUAUUUCUCCAAGUGCAAAACAUCUGGAUCGGAGGUCAUACUAAACCCCUUGGAAUCCUCAGAAAUUCUGGGGAGUGAAACCACUCUUCUCAUUCAGAAGUGUUCAAAAACCAUAUGGAUGAGGCCCUUAGGGACAUAGCUUAGUGGUGGCCUUGGCAGGCCUGGGGUAACGGUUGGACUUGAUCUUAAAGGUCUUUUCCAAGCUGGUGGAUUCCAUGAUUUAGUCACGAUAUUUUAAUCUUGCUUGUAUUGCCAUUUGAGUAGGCAAACACAGUUACUAGAAGGGAAGUUGUGUGCUCACCAGUGAGACAACAUGGGGCCAGAAAAGUUCUGAUGGGUAUUUUCAGAUGCACAUGGGAGAAGCAAACCCCAUCUGGCAUCACCGGGGAAUAUCGUGCACCAUGGGGGAGCCGCUUGUGUUUAAGUUGAAGAUUCAUUCAUCCUCUUAGAGCCAUCCGUAUUUUUUACAAGAUGCAGCUCCAGCCUUGAAUCAAUCUGUUUAUUAAUAUAAGCUGCCCUUGCGAAGAGUGAAAAAGGAUUUAAAUAAGCACCGCAGGUUUUCCUGCCUUCCCAUGGUGAGGGGGAGGCUGCCUUCAGAGUUAAAUCCCAGGCUGGGAUCCAUGCCUGGGCCAAAUUCCUGACUGCCAAUCAUGGGCAGCCUCCAGCCCCAUGGGCCCUGGGGGUGCUGGAGCUAAGGGGAUGCCACUACAAGUAACGCCUGCAUGUCUGUCUGCAAAACAAAGGUGUUCUUUGUGCUCCAAAAUUCAGAUUAUCUGUGAAUACAUAUUCCUCAUGAGAGGUAGAAUAAAGGUGCAACUCAACUAAUGUAACCCAGCCAAUAUGGAGAAUUUAAAUUAAAAGGAGAAAAAUUCCUUGAGAGGCAUCUCCCAACCUUUACAGUGAUAUAUUGUGUGCCAGGGAAAAGGUCAGGCUCCAGUUAAUGAUUUGAUGUUAAAUGUGUCUCUGAUCUCUCCAAGAUCCUGUUUCUCCUUGAAUUGUUUCCAUAGCUUGAAUGCUGUUGGGGCACAGCUGCUUCUCACCUUCACUCUGAUGGAAAGGAAGGAAAUUACCUGAGUUCCCAUCCUCCGAGGGGUAUCGACUCCCAGUGCAGCACAGCACCUCAAAGUGGCCCAUCCACAAACCUCCCAUCUCUUGUCUCAUGGCACAGGCUUGCUCUUGAUGUAUUAUUUUGAGCAGAAGCUGGAAAUUUGGAGCACAAUGUCUGGAGCAAAACUGGGAUAAGAUUAAGCCUCAGCUGUAGCCUAUAAAAUCAUCUUGGUGCAAUAUGAUCUAUCAAGGACUAACUAGGGAAGGACCAUGUAAAAUCAUGUUGCUGUCAGUGGGGCUGUGGAUGGAGUUGCACCUGACUGAUUGUCUCCCAGCCAAACCAGGGAAGCAGUGCAGGUGAUGGAUCUCUGAAGCCAUGGGGAAGCAAUCUGCAGUUCAAACACUAUGAGGAGCAGAGGUGAGUUUUCACAGUGAGGAUUAAAACUAGAGAUGUGAGCAGAGAGAUCUCCCUGCAUGACAAAUCCAAGCAGAUCAAAUACAUGAAUAGAGACCAGAAGCCAUGCUGCAGAAAAGGAGUGGGGAGAUGUGGCAGCUGACAAGGUCUGGAUCACUUCCGCCAUCCUUCAGAAGGAAAAACAACCACGAGUUUAAAAAACCAAACCCUUGCCAACAAAAAAAUACCAUCUCAUUCGAGGAAUAUAUUCAAAUGGGGAGUUAUGUGAAAUCUGGGAAAUAUUGCUGCUGCUCUUCUGGAUGCCAGAGAGACUUUGGAGCUGUGCUCAGUGCCAGUGUGCUCUAGGGCAGAAAUUAUAGAUAAAAUGGACGGGGAGUGCCACAGAAAGGAGGGUACAGAAAGCAUGGCCUGUAGGAAAGCAGCACACAGAGAGGUUAUUCUAGAAGAGAGGAGGUUGUUGUCAGGAUAAACACCUGCUUUUCAGCACAAUGUCAGAUUUGUCUCAUGUCUGGAAGACAGCUCUACCUUCAACAAAAAGAUUUCAGCAAUGUAUUAGGACUGCCGCAGAACUAUGUCCUAGCUGCAAGGAUGCAUGGUGCAGUUGAAUAAGAUGAUUGUUGUAGGUCCUUUCCAACUGA